AGGGCCAUAGUUCAGAGGCAGAGCUCCUGCUUUGCAUGCAUGGAGAAAAGGUUCUAGGUUCAAUCCCCAGUGGCCUCU